GAGCACGUAGGUGGGUUUGUAAGUCAGAUGUGAAAGCCUUCUGUUCAACGGAAGAAUUGCAUCUGAAACUGCAAAUCUUGAGUGUAGGAGGGGAGAAUGGAACUUCUGGUGGAGCGGUGAAAUGCGUAGAUAUCAGAAGGAACGCCAGCGGCGAAAGCGAUUCUCUGGCCUAUUACUGACACUCAGUGUGCGAAAGCUAGGGGAGCAAACGGGAUUAGAUACCCCGGUAGUCCUAGCCGUAAACGAUGGGCACUAAGUAGAGGGAAUUACCGAUGUUCUCUCUGCCGUAGCUAACGCAUUAAGUGCCCCGCCUGGGGAGUACGGCCGCAAGGCUAAAACUCAAAAGAAUUGACGGGGGCUCGCACAAGCGGUGGAGCAUGUGGCUUAAUUCGAUGCAACGCGAAAAACCUUACCGGGGCUUGACAUGGUAGAAGUAGGAACCCGAAAGGGUAACGAAUGGUAUCCAGUCCAUAGCUAUUACAGGUGUUGCAUGGCUGUCGUCAGCUCGUGUCGUGAGACGUUGGGUUAAGUCCCCUAACGAGCGAAACCCUUGUUUUUAGUUACCAGCGGGUUGUGCCGGGUACUCUAGAAAGACUGCCGUCGUCAAGACGGAGGAAGGUGGGGAUGACGUCAAGUCAUCAUGGCCCUUAUGCCCCGGGCUGCACACGUGCUACAAUGGUCGGUACAAACGGAAGCGAAGCCGAGAGGUGAAGCGAAUCC
rnacentral:rRNA from 1 species